rnacentral:lncRNA from 1 species
GGCCUUAUUGAAGGAAAUGUCCCUGGGAAUGGGUCAUUGAAGUUUCAAAAGCUAGACCCUGGCCAGGGUCUUUCUCUUCCUGCCGCGCUCCCUCAGAACUGGCUGAAGAACACUAGCUACUUCUCCAGCUGCGUGCCGCCAUGUUCCCUGUCAUGGGGAUAAAGGGACUAAAUCCCUCUGAAACGGAGCAGCGCUGUUUUCUGUGGACCCUUGUCUAGUUGUGGCGGUUGCUGGGAAAGAUGAAGUCCCCAGACUGGAGCUCAGGCUGCAAAGAGGCUGGCAUGAAGCGAGAUGCCCCUUCUAGGCCAAGGCAAGAUCUGCUGCCCUCUGACUUCUACCUGUUGCUGAGAUGACUUCUGUCGCCAAGGCACCUGGAUACCGAGCCACUCCUUGACAAAAGCCCUCUCCAGCCUGCGUGGACCUCGCGUGAGAGAAGUCUAGGUGGCUGUGGGCAGCCCACAGGCUUCCGUUGCCGCUGCGUUACAGCUUGUCGUCUUAAUCUUGAAAUGAGACCUGGUUCACUUGAUCUCAUUAAUAAAAGGUCUGUGCUCCCCCUAGUCAUAAAAACACGCCACCCUCCUGUUCACUGUCCUCUGAAGGAGCUGUUUUAUUUCAGUGUUUUUAAGGUGGUACUGGAUCCAUAGGCUCACACGGCCCCUACUUUCUUGGUGCUAUCUGAUGAUGUACCUUAAGCCCCCAGAGAAGUCGCUAGGUACCAGCAUUAUGGACUUUGAUGGAGACGUCACCUUAGAUGCUUAUCAGCCUGUAAAGUAAAAUUCCAAUUUUCCUACCCAU